rnacentral:rRNA from 1 species
AUUGAACGCUGGCGGCAUGCUUUACACAUGCAAGUCGAACGGUAACAGGGAGCUUGCUCCGCUGACGAGUGGCGAACGGGUGAGUAAUGCGUCGGAACGUGCCGAGUAGUGGGGGAUAACGCAUCGAAAGGUGUGCUAAUACCGCAUACGUACUGAGGUAGAAAGUGGGGGACCUUCGGGCCUCACGCUAUUCGAGCGGCCGACGUCUGAUUAGCUAGUUGGUGAGGUAAAGGCUCACCAAGGCGACGAUCAGUAGUGGGUCUGAGAGGAUGAUCCGCCACACUGGGACUGAGACACGGCCCAGACUCCGACGGGAGGCAGCAGUGGGGAAUUUGGACAAUGGGCGAAAGCCUGAUCCAGCCAUGCCGCGUGUCUGAAGAAGGCCUUCGGGUUGUAAAGGACUUUUGUCCGGGAGCAAAUGCUGGUGGCUAACAUCCACCGGAGCUGAGAGUACCGGAAGAAUAAGCACCGGCUAACUACGUGCCAGCCGCCGCAGUAAAAC